AGAUUGAACGCUGGCGGCAUGCCUAACACAUGCAAGUCGAACGGGAGUAGCAAUACUCUAGUGGCGGACGGGUGAGGAAUACGUAGGAAUUUGCCCUUAAGUGGGGGAUAACCCGGGGAAACCCGGAUUAAUACCGCAUGACCUCGAAAGAGCAAAGUGGGGGAUCGCAAGACCUCACGCUUUUGGAGAAGCCUACGUCGGAUUAGCUAGUUGGUGAGGUAAUGGCUCACCAAGGCGACGAUCCGUAACUGGUCUGAGAGGAUGAUCAGUCACACCGGAACUGAGACACGGUCCGGACUCCGUACGGGAGGCAGCAGUGGGGAAUAUGGACAAUGGGCGCAAGCCUGACUCCAGCAAGUGCCGCGUAGUGUAGAAGUAGGUCCGUUCGGGUUAGUAA
rnacentral:rRNA from 1 species